CGAAGGAGCUAGCGUUGUUCGGAAUCACUGGGCGUAAGCGCACGUAGGCGGAUGUGUCAGUCAGGGUGAAUCCCGGAGCUCAACUUCGGAACUGCCUUUGAUACAGCACAUCUGGAGUCCGGAAGAGGUGGUGGAAUUCCUAGUGUAGAGGUGAAAUUCGUAGAUAUUAGGAAGAACACCGGUGGCGAAGGCGGCCCACUGGUCCGGUACUGACGCUGAGGUGCGAAAGCGUGGGAGCAAACAGGAUU
rnacentral:rRNA from 1 species